rnacentral:rRNA from 1 species
UACGGAGGGGGCAAGCGUUGUUCGGAAUUACUGGGCGUAAAGCGCGCGUAGGCGGACAUGCAAGUCGGGGGUGAAAGCCCGAGGCUCAACCUCGGAACUGCCUUCGAUACUGCGGGUCUAGAGUCCGGGAGAGGUGAGUGGAAUUCCUAGUGUAGAGGUGAAAUGCGUAGAUAUCUGGAGGAACACCGGUGGCGAAGGCGGCAUCCUGGACCGGCAUUGACGCUGAGGCGCGAAAGCCAGGGGAGCAAACGGG